rnacentral:rRNA from 1 species
AUGGUUGUAGAAUUUGACUUGGUAAUGCAAGACUAUGUUAGACGUAUUCAAAACAAAUAUAUUCAUUGUCAUUAUAUUAGCCAUAAAAUUGAAAAUGAGUUGGUUUCUCUUAUGGUUGCUGACUUUACAAAUUCUAUCGUCACGAUUGCCAAAGUGGUGAAAUAUUUCUCUGUUAUCCUGGAUUGCACCCUGGAUGUGAGUCAUCAAGAACAAAUAGUUAUUUUAGUUGGAUGUGUUCAUAUGUCUCAUGGAGAAACAAAAAUUGAGUCGUUUCUUUGCUUAAUGGAUGCCACAUUUGGUUUGGGACUUUUCAAGGUAUUGGUUGAUUCUAGCAAGUCUUUUAGCCUUAAUAUUGAUAUUGAUGACAUUAGGGACCAAAGUUAUGACAAUAGUUCCAAUAUGAAAGGAAAAUACAAUGGGGGUGCAAAUUCAGUUGCUUAA